GAUGAACGCUGGCGGCGUGCCUAAUACAUGCAAGUCGAGCGAACAGACGAGAGUGCUUGCACUCUCUGACGUUAGCGGCGGACGGGUGAGUAACACGUGGGUAACCUACCUAUAAGACUGGGAUAACUUCGGGAAACCGGAGCUAAUACCGGAUAAUAUUUAGCUUCGCAUGAAGCAAUAGUGAAAGACGGUUCUGCUGUCACUUAUAGAUGGACCCGCGGUGUAUUAGCUAGUUGGUGAGGUAACGGCUCACCAAGGCAACGAUACAUAGCCGACCUGAGAGGGUGAUCGGCCACACUGGGACUGAGACACGGCCCAGACUCCUACGGGAGGCAGCAGUAGGGAAUCUUCCGCAAUGGACGAAAGUCUGACGGAGCAAUGCCGCGUGAGUGGAGAAGGUUUUCGGAUCGUAAAACUCUGUUGUAAGGGAAGAACAAGUACGUUAGUAACUGAACGUACCUUGACGGUACCUUACCAGAAAGCCACGGCUAACUACGUG
rnacentral:rRNA from 1 species